rnacentral:lncRNA from 1 species
GUGUCACCCUUAUUCCCCUAGGGACCUAGAAAGACAAAAGAUGGGGAGCUACCAGCUGAGGCUGCCACUGGGGAGUCAAAGGCUGCUGGUCCCUUGCCUCCGCGGAAGGUUGGCUAGCAGGGGGCACAUACUAGCCAGAGGGGUGGCCUGACCUGUCCUAGAGGUGGGCCGCUCCAUUGUUCCGCCUCACUAAUGGAAGUCAUUCCCCACCCAAGUCGACCUUGGGGGAUUAUUUUUAACCCUUUGUACCAAAUCAAGUUAAUCCAGUUACCCCACCUGGAUCUUCUCCCAUGAGAAUGAAGUCUAGUGAGGCUCCAUAUAUGUGUGGUGGUGAGCGGCUGGACGUACAGGUCUGGGCCUCCUGGAUGCAGGGGCUUGUCUGAGAGGCUGCUCUGGAGCAAGCCUGUCCCAGGGGAGGAGGGAGCACGUGUGACUGCUGGCCUUCCCUGGAAGGGGGGGCGCCCAUGCCUUGAGGAGGGCACGGUGGGAAGGGAAGGAACAUGAUUCCUCCCAGGCACUGUUAGACACAGUGUCACAGCUCCACAUGCCCGCUCCUUGCCCCAGGGGGCCCUGGGGCUGAUGACAGGCUGGGCUUUUUGUCACUCCGUCUCCCUCUGCUCAAGCAGGUUUCGCGGAAGACGUGGCACAGCCAGCGCUGCUGGGCUGUGGGCAGGAACCAUGACAGAUGAUUCCGAGCAUCUGUCUUCAUGUUUCUGCUGUGUUCAAUCUGUCCCACUUCCUUCACAGACUCCUUUCCUAAAGGGAUAGCUGUGAUGGGCCUUUGGUAUGAAUCAAACGCCAGCGAAUGGGGCCAAGUCUCGGUUUUUCCCUGAAGGAUCGCAUCCCUUUUGUCAAACCAUCUCCCGAACUACUCCCCACCCAGUUUCUGGCCCAACCUAGCACUCUUAGGAAAGGAGGCUGUCAGUGUGCAGCAAGCCCAGGCACUGCCAGCAUUUCAGGGGGCCGAGAGAGAGGGUUGCCCCUCUCAUUCACCACUCAUGGGAUCACUGGUUCUCCCCGGGGCCUGACCCCCACCAGGGCCAGCGUGCCUGAGUUCUUUACUACCAGCCUUGAGGAAAGCGGAAGCCUCCCGCCCCCUUCAAAGAUGCUAGAGCCCUGCAAGGGCACUUCUUUGGAAAUGAAAUGUAGCACAAUCUCAGACUGUGUUACCAGGAGCCCUGGCACGCAACCAGGGUCCUUGUUCCACGCCCUGCUGCCCAGGAGAAGCUGGGCUCCCCGCCCCCGACCCCCACCCCCCAGCAGGGGCUCCAGAGCUCCUGAUAACCUCCGAGUCCCCAUCUUCUUCAGCCCAGAAAGCAGCAGGGCUUCAGAAAGGCUGUUCUUCUGCUUCUUUGGUUGCUUCCUGCACUGUGUAACCCUGUGGACAAAUUGCUGCCUUUGCUCGUCGGUGGAGGGGGGGUGUGUCCUUCAGGACCAGGAAGCUGGCCAUCCGGCAGGGUAUCUGCAGUGGCUGCCAGGAAAGGGAGGGGGAGAGGCCUGCUGCCCACUGGCUCCUUUCUCUCUCCCUCUUUCUUCCUCUCCCCAGAGUUUUCUUCUCCAAUAUCCUGACCCAGAAAGAGGUUCCUUAAAAUGCUGCUUCCUGUACUGGACUACUGUCCACUUGCAUGAUCAGGGAGGAGAUAGGAAUGUAGACUCGUCCCCUACCUUCUCCCUCGAGUCUGCUUUUCACUCAGGUCAGAAGAGGCUGGGGCAAAACAAAAACAGUCGUGACUGA